UAGGGAAUAUUGGACAAUGGGGGCAACCCUGAUCCAGCCAUGCCGCGUGAGUGAAGAAGGCCCUCGGGUUGUAAAGCUCUUUUGUCCGGAAAGAAAAGCUUCGGGUUAAUACCCCGGGGUUCUGACGGUACCGGAAGAAUAAGCACCGGCUAACUUCGUGCCAGCAGCCGCGGUAAUACGAAGGGUGCAAGCGUUACUCGGAAUUACUGGGCGUAAAGCGUGCGUAGGUGGCUGUUUAAGUCUGAUGUGAAAGCCCUGGGCUCAACCUGGGAAUGGCAUUGGAAACUGGGCAGCUAGAGUGCGGUAGAGGGUAGUGGAAUUCCCGGUGUAGCAGUGAAAUGCGUAGAGAUCGGGAGGAACAUCUGUGGCGAAGGCGACUGCCUGGACCAGCACUGACACUGAGGCACGAAAGCGUGGGGAGCAAACA
rnacentral:rRNA from 1 species